AACUGAUUGGCUGUCAACCUAUAACAAGUAUAUCGUAGUAUUUAAAGAGAUAAUUUCAACUGGAGCCUUUUGAGGGUGUGGGGAGUGGGCCGAGUGGCAGUUAUGAGGGGGGAUAAAGAGAGUGGGAGGGAGAGAGGGGGAGAGGGGGAGAGACAAAGACAAAGACAAAGAGACGAAGGUGGGCGACCCUAACGCAGUCCUCCAUUUCAUUUCAAACCGGCGAGCGGGCAGGUGUGGAGUGUUGCCGCAGGUGUGGACUGCCGGCGACCUGCGUGACAAAGGAAGGUUUGGAACAAAACAAGAAGCAAGAACAAUUAAGAUGAACACUAGCCACACCAAAGAACUGUUACUGCUGGCACCACCACCACCAUCACCACCACCACACACACACACACACACACACACACACACACGAGUGGUCAUGUGUGUGUGAGAAGGAUCCGGGUCAAAUGUCAAGCAGGGUGAGGUGAGCAGUCUUGAAGCAGAGGAAAGGAUCCAAGUGACUGCAGAUACCUUGGAAGGAAGGUGAUGGUGAGGAACAGUGAAGAAAGAUGACGGAGCAGAAACAGGCCCACACCAUCCUGGAAUGUGCUGCAAAUAAUCUUGGUUACCGGCAAAGUAAAGAGAUAAAGAGAUAGAUAGAUACAGAGAUAGAUAAUUAUUAGUAAGAGUGAGAUUAAGAUAGAUAGAUAAUUAUUAUUAAGAGUGUUAGUUAGAUAGAUAUAUACAGAGAUAGAUAAUUAUUAGUAAGAGUGAGAUUAAGAUAGAUAAUUAUUAUUAAGAGUGCUAGAUUAUUAUAUUCUUAUUAUAUUAUUAUUUUAUUUGUGUGUGGUGUGUGUGUGUGUGUUCUCUUUUCAGAAGUGUGUUUGGAAUGCAAGAAAUAUACAAGACCACAGAAGAUUCUAUAGUGGUGGUGGUGGUAGUAGUAGUAGUAAUAGUAGUAGUAGUAGUAGUACUUUAUCAAUAUACAGGGCAUUAUAGAAACAAUGAAUGUAGUUAGGGUGGUGGUGGUGGUGGUGGUGGUGGUGGUAAUAAUUUUCUACUACUGGCUCUAACAAAUAUACUAACAUAAUAACAAAUAUACUAACAUAAAUAUUUAUUAUUUUUCUUUUACAGCUUAUUUGAUUUAUUUAAUUAUUUUAUUGGUGGGAGGGAAAAUAAUUUUUUUUGCAAAUUUAUUGAUAAAUUACAUGUUUUAUUUAUAUAUUAAGUUUAUUGAUGUUAUAUUUCGCGGUUUUGUUAAUUUUUUUUUUUUUUUUUUUUUUUGGGUGGCUUAAUACUGCUUUGUUUUGCUUGGUAAGGGUUCUCACAGGUGUCCGCAAGAGAGAAGAGGAACAUUUCACCCUCAGUCAAGAAUGAAGACUUCUACAUAUAUUUUUUUUUGGUGUUUGGCUUAAUACUGCUUUGUUUUGUUUGGUAAUGGUUCCCACAGGUGUCCACAAGAGAGAAGAGGAACAUUUCACCCUCAGCCAAGAGUGAAGACUUCUGCUUCAGUCAUCUAGGUCUCUUUAAUGUAAAUGUAUCUAUGAAGAAACAGCAGACAAUGAAAUAAAUGUUUGUUUGUGUUUUAACUGUUGUUGUUGUAAUGCUUCCUCUGACGCGGGAGGUUCGCCCUCUGGCAGUUAUUGUUGCCAGGGUUUUUUUUUUGGUGUGAAUUGUUGCCUUGAUGGUCAUUUUGUUUGCAUGGUGGUGUUGUCGGUGAGGCCAUCUGGUCAGGAUAGGCAAGGUUGUCUUCUGUUACUCAGACUGAUGGCAGCCUUUUCUUUAUAGGCAAUGGACGCAUAGCCAUGUUUUCUCAACGGGUCCUUUUCUUCCAGGCUGCCAUGGGAGGACGGCUGUGGUCUGCUGUCUGUUUCCACUUGCUGCGGCAACGCGGGAGCCACAGGUAUAAGGUACACCGGUCGAGUUGACCACUCGACCGGUCAGGUUUAGGUUAGGUGUGAUAUAUAUAUUUUUUUUUAUAUAUAUAUAUAUAUAUGUCUUAGCUACAUGCUUGUUAGGAUGUAUAAUGCACCUUCGGGUGCACUUUUUUCCCUUUUCUCUCCCAGAAAGAAGAUGUUCCGGGUUCCUGGUUGCAGAAGAAGAAGAUGUCGCCGCCGGUAUGCCAGUCGGACUAGCCAUCCGACUGGCAGGUAUGAUUUUUUUUUUGGUAGGAUCGCGUAAUGUAUAUGUAUAUAUUUCCGGAUAUAUGCAUAUAUAUAGUGAUCCAUAUAUUUUUUUUGAUGCAUAUAUUUUGAUAUACGUCCUUAAGACGUAUAUCUGAUGUGUGUAUCAAUUAUUUAUUUAUGUCUUAGCUACCUUAACCCGUUAGGCUUGUGGCGCCGCUGUGCGCACCUUUCUUCUCUCUCUCAGCUAGUGUGUGGCAGGCGCGAGGGGAGAUGGAGAGGGAAGGCGCGAUGGCAGCGAAGGCGCGAUUGCAGUAGUAGCAGCAACAGGUAAGCCGGUCGGCCUGGUCAGCCGAUCGGCUUGGUUUAGGAUAGGAUUAUUGAUAUAUAUAUAUUUAUUUCAUUUCAUGUAUGUCUUAGCUACAUUUAUGUCAGGAUGUAUAAUGCACCUAGAGUGCGCCCUUUUUUCUCCUUUUCUCUCCCAGAAAGAAGAUGUUCCAGCGGCAGCGGGCCGGUCGGGUUGGCAACCCUGCCGGCGGGGGGUUAGAUAAUUAUUAAUAAAUGUAUGUGUAUGUAUAUAUAUGUAUUAUUUAUAAUACUUAUAUAUGUAUACAUUUUUGCUUUAGUGGGAUUAUAUAACUUGUUUAUAUAUAUAUAUCAUGUUUAUAUAUAUAUAGACUUUGCAUUAGAUGAUUAAAUAAUUUAUGUGUAUAUUAUAUACCUAUAUAUAUGUAUAUUUUUUCAAUAUACAUAAUAUAUGUUAAAUAUACAUUGUCUAGGAUUGAUAUAUUUAGCUUUUAUAAAUAUAUCAGAGUAUAUAUAUACCUACAUAUAUGUAUAUUUUUUUAAUAUAUGUAAUAUAUAUGUUAUAUAUACAUUUUCUAGGAUUGAUUGAUUGAUAUAUUUAGGUUUUAUAAAUAUAUCAGUAUAUAUAUACCUAUAUAUAUGUAUAUUUUUUUAAUAUAUGUAAUAUAUAUGUUAUAUAUACAGUCUAGGAUUGAUAUUAUAUAUUUAGCUUUUGCAGCUGUUGUGAUGUGCAGGUGUAUGCCUGGAGUGUACAUCUGCAUGUUGUGACAGUUUUUAACUCAGGAUUUAGCUAUGUAUUGUCAGCUCUUGCAGCUUUCUAGGAUGCACAGGUGUAUGCCAUGUGUGUACAUCUGUAAGUCCUAGCGAUCUGUAUUCUGACUUAGGAUUUUUAUAUAUUUAGCUAUUUUACCUGCUAGGCCAUGCAUGUCUAAUGCACCUUGUGUGCCCAGUUCCUUCCCCUUUCUUUAGUUCUGGCGGGGGACCUGGGUGGACAGCGGCAGGCCCGGUCGUUCCCUCGUGGGGCCGUGGUGGGAGUGACCGUCAGGAAGCUUCCAUUACGGUAAUUAUUUUCUCUUUUUGUACUAAAUUUAGUUAUAUUUACGUUAACUUGAUAUUCAUGUUUAUUCAUUCGUUGCUGUGG